GACAUAAACAAUCCUUCGGGUGCGCUUAUGGGCGGCGAGCGGCGGACGGGUGAGUAAUGCCUGGGAAUAUGCCCUGAUGUGGGGGAUAACCAUUGGAAACGAUGGCUAAUACCGCAUAAUCUCUUCGGAGCAAAGAGGGGGACCUUCGGGCCUCUCGCGUCAGGAUUAGCCCAGGUGAGAUUAGCUAGUUGGUGAGGUAAGAGCUCACCAAGGCGACGAUCUCUAGCUGGUCUGAGAGGAUGAUCAGCCACACUGGAACUGAGACACGGUCCAGACUCCUACGGGAGGCAGCAGUGGGGAAUAUUGCACAAUGGGGGAAACCCUGAUGCAGCCAUGCCGCGUGUGUGAAGAAGGCCUUCGGGUUGUAAAGCACUUUCAGUUGUGAGGAAGGCAUAUGCGUUAAUAGCGUGUGUGUUUGACGUUAGCAACAGAAGAAGCACCG
rnacentral:rRNA from 1 species